AUUGAACGCUGGCGGCAGGCCUAACACAUGCAAGUCGAGCGGAGCGGCGGACGGGUAAGUAAUGCCUAGGAAUAUGCCUGGUGGUGGGCGAUAACGUCCGGAAACGGGCGCUAAUACCGCAUACUAUCAGAUUAGCCUAGGGCGGAUUAGCUAGUUGGGGGGGUAAAGGCCUACCAAGGCGACGAGCCGUAACUGGUCUGAGAGGAUGAUCAGUCACACGGGAACGGAGAAACGGUCAAGAUCCCUCGGGGAGGAAGCAGUGGGGAACAUUGGACAAGGGGGGAAAGCCUGCUGCAGCCAUGCCGCGGGUAGGAAGAAGGCCUUCGGUUUGUAAAGUACUUUAAUCGGGGAGGCGUUACCCGCAUAAGAAGCAACGGCUAACUCCGUGCCAGCAGCCGCGGUAAUUC
rnacentral:rRNA from 1 species